GUAUAUGUAUACCUACCUACACACAUGUGUAUGUCUGUGUGUGUAGCUGCCAAAUGAACAAGUGAAUAAACAACAUCAAUGCAUUCGUUCCAGUGUAUUACAUUUGACUGUACUUUGAAAACAACGAGAAGCAAACUUUACAUACACGGGAGUACAUGUGAAUUGAGUUCAACCAGGAAUCAUUCAGCUUUCCACCGAGCAUCCAUCCACUCAUGAACCGUAUCUACAAUACAGCUCCUUGUGUCCAGUGAAAAAAUAUGUGAUUUGGUUUCAAAGCUUAGGCUAAACCUCCUGUUUAUAAACCCACUGACCACCACCUCACUAUGAAAGCUGCCUCUAAAAAAAUGGCUCUGAAGCCAAGAGAGACAGGGGUUCUAUUCCAAUGAUAUCUUUAUAUGCUGUUAGGCCUUAAGCAAGUUUCCUCAUUACUAAAUAAAGACAACAGUACUGUUUUGAAGAGUAAAUAAGCGAAUGUUUAAAAAACAUUCGGUACAUAAUAAAAACCCAAUUAAAAUUAGCUAUUUUCUAUCAGUAUUCAUGCAUUCAUAUUUUCCCCAACUAGCACUCACUGAUGUCUACUCGGCUACAGGGCCUGUGCCUGGAUGUCAGGCACAGUUCACGGGCACUGGCUGCAGCACCUGCCCAGGAAGAGCUCACCAUGUGACAGGAAAGGCAAGCCAUAAACAACAAGUAUGAGAGAGGGGAGUGUGGUAUGUAUUGUCUCGUCCAGGAGGGCUGAAGAGAAGCUAUGUGCCCUUCUCUGGCGAACCUGGUAUGAGGGUCCGGUCUCAACUUAACAGGUAAACCCAAACCUUCCAACUUAUAAAACAAAACGGCUUCUGCGAUGGGUCAGAGAAGCUCUGUGAAGGAGCCCUCACAAGACUGUAAGAAGAAUGGUCAAGAAUGACUGUCAUAAUGGCCAAAAGGUGGAAACAACUGAAGUGUCCAUCACAUUUAAAAGGAUAAAUAAAAUAUGGUAUGUGUGUUUGUGUACACAAUAGAGUAUUAUUCAACUUCAAAAAGGAAAUCCUGAUGCAUAUUAUAACAUGGAUAAACCUAGAGGACAUUAUGCUCAGUGACGCCAGUCACAAAAAAACAAAUAUUGCAUAACUCCACUUACAUAAAGUAUUUCAAGCAGUCAAAGUCAUAGAGACAGAAAGCAGAAUGGCGCUGCCAGGGGCUGGAGAGAGGGAAGUUAGUGAUAGGCACAUGAUUUCAGUUGGGGAAAAUAGUGAAAAAGUUCUGGAGAUGGUUGGCGUUAAUGAUUGCACAAAAAUGGGAACACACUUAAUGCUACAAAACUAUAUACUUAAAUGGUUAAUAUGGGCCCUUGGUUGUGUGGCCCAGUCAGUUGUGUUGUCCCGUACACCCAAAGUUCGUGGGUUCAAUUCCUGGUCAGGGUACAUACCUAGGUUGUGGGUUCAGUCUCUGGAUGGGGCAUGUACGGGAGGCAACCAAUCGAUGUGUGUCUUUCACAUCAAUAAAAAUACAUCCACUCUUCUGUAACUUUUACCAUUUUUAUAUCUGGUAGUAUAUCAACCCAGCUUUUCCCCAGGUUGAAAUGACAUGAGAAAAAUCCCGGGGCAGACCUCAUACACAGGACACUGUGUGAUGUAGUUAACACCUAAGAAAUUACAAAUACCAAUAUAUAAAUGCCCAAACCCUAAUUUAUAGCAAAAUAGAGAGAUGCUAUACACACUGAACAUGGGUUUACUUCUCCAAGGAUAAGAGAGGCAGAAAAUAAGCCUAAGUAUUUUUAUGUCUUAAUAUCAAGUUUGGAUCAUAUAAGCUAAUUCCUAAAGAGACAAGAAAGUUCCCGGAAAAAAAUAAGAAGUUAACAUUUUUUUAAAUGUUAAUUUGCAUUAAACAAUGCAACUCUCAUAGACUAGGCAGAAAUGUCACAACUGACUGUCUCAUAUAAUGACCUGGUUUCCCAGUGGCCCAGAAAGAUGGAAAGCAAAUCCCCUGAACCCUCGUUUAGGCAGACUGAAGAGCGCAGACUGCGGCUGUUUGCACGAUCAAAGGCUGUGCCGCGGCGCGAUGGGGCCUGUGCUUUGCUCGCUUCCCCCAGGAGUCCCCCCACUCCUGCCCCGGACUGGGGACUGGGAAAAGAGCGACAGCUUCACCCUCGUAUCUUCAUCAAAGACUCCAGAAUCCAAAAUUUAACUUGUCUGCUGUCUACUCAUCCAAUUUUCAUUAAGAGCAAUUUAUAUUAUCUAGAGAGCUUCAAAGUCAAAUGCCACCUUUAUUUUUACUUUAUCAAACCCAUUAAAAUCAAGACAGGGGACAUGGGACUUAGGGUCACAAAAAAAGUCUCAAGUCAAAUAAUUGGUUUAAGUUAGAGUCAAGUUCACCAACAAUAAGAUGACAGCUUCGGGCAAAGUCGGCUGCCUUCCUGCAUUUCAGAAAGACCAGCAUUGCUUCUGACACACUACAUAGGUAUAAGCAACCUCUGGGUGGGUAAUGCCACCAAACAAAAGCAACACCUUCAAAGUAUCUCUCAGUGACGAGAGGCAGCCAGACACUCAAACUGCCAGUCCUGAAUUACGGCCUCUGAAUGGUGAGGGCUUCACAUUUCACUGAUCAGGGCACAGCCCAAUCAGAAGACAAACCCCUGCACUGCCAGGGACCAGCAAAUCCGCUUUCUUCCAGUGUGCACAUGACUGAAUGUGCUUCUGUCCAUCAUCUGGGUCAUAUAUAGUUCAAUGCGAGCCGAGCAGACAGGGCUGUAAGGAAAUCUGGCGCGGUUCAAUACCUCGUCUAGCCUGGGUUCCAGUAUCUAAUUUUUUUUUACUGACAAACUCAUUUCUCUACUGGGACAGGAUGGUGUGCUGGCUGGAAGUUCCAUUUCUACAGCAAGAAUUCUAUCUGGAAACACAGAAGUUGUCCUCUAGCCACAGCAGCUCGAACUUUUUUGAUUGUUGUUGCUGCUUUUCUCCCAUCACCCCCACCCCCUUUUGACAAAGAUCCAACUGUAAAAAGUCUUACGUAACAGUUCAGGACUACUUCGGUUCUUUUACUGGUAUAUCAAGAGGCCUCAAGAGGACCAUGGAAACAUUUACAUCUCCAAAUUAAAGCUAAGUGGGCUUCAAUAUUUUGUAGCACCUCUGCAAAACGACAGAAAGGAGCUACUAGGAGAAAAGCCACACGUCGAAGAAACCGGUGUGAAAAAGAAGAGCCAGGAGCUGGGGAGAGCCCAGGCAACGCCACCGAAAGGAAACACUGAUGGCUGCACUCAACAUUCAUUGCUGUCGGUGGGUUUGAGUCUGAAUCAACUCACUGAUCAAUGAAUGCAAACUGCGGACCAAACAACCCAAGGCUCAAUAGACCAGAUCUACCUUCCAAGAAACGGGCUCAAACAGAAAAGACAGCAGGAAGUCGAGAAUGCUGCCGAACUCUCUUGAUUAGAUUAGGGGCCUGGGGUGCACUAAGAAAUGAGCAAUUCUGAACUGGAAGACAGAAGAGCUUUUUUUUUUUUUUUGAACAGAGAAUGCACAUUUAUGAUUUGUAAGCUUGGAGUUGUGAGUGAACGCACAGAAAGUCGACAGGUGACACAGUUAUUGGACACAUACUGUGCACCUCACCUGCAACAGAUGCCAGGAAAUGUGGAAGAAACAAAAAUGCAAAUGGCAGGCCAAAUAAUCCCAAGUGUGAAAAGUUCCGCAAAAGAGAAAAAGAAGGUACUAUGGGAACAAAUAUUGGAAGAGACCAAUCUGGUCUUGGAAGCGAGAACGGUCUGGGAAGUGACCUCAAGAAAGUGACGUGGAAAUGAAGGCUCGCAUGGUUAGGUGUAAACCGCGUGAGAGCGACAGGUGGGGUGAGCAUUCCAAGCAGUGGGAAUGGAUGGCAAGUGUACACAGGGCGUAGUGCUUUCAGAAAGCGUGGCUUGAAAGUGUGGCUAAAGCACAUAGAAGGCAGAGAAGAGGUCAUGAGACAAGGUUAGAGAGGAAGGCAGAACAUUUUAAAAAUUACUAAUAGUCUUAGAACAAUUUUUUGGAGUGAUAGCCAUGGAUGAAAACAGAUUUCAGGAAAGGUAGUGAUGAAGAGCUUGAGCCAUCUAUGUGAACCUAGACAAAUUACUUACCCACUAAAUCUGUAUAAAUAGGAGAUAUGAUAAUAGUCUUUGCUUGACAGGGCUACUUGAAGAGUAAAAAUACAUGUAAAACAUUUUGCACAAAGCCUGAUACCAAACAAAACACUAAAAUCUGUGUGUGUGUGCAUGCACUGGCUGAUAGGAAGUAAAAAGCAGAGUGAAGGUCUGGAAGCGAAACUAUGGACAACUGAAAUCUCUAGGUUUUAGAAUGAGAGGUGACUUUUAUUGUAUGUUUAUUAUUUUAACUCAUCUAUGUCUUCCAAGUGUUCAGCAAUAAGCAUGCACUAUUUCAACAAUUAAAAAUUAUUUUUAAUGUCUUUUUUUAAAGCAACAAUUUCCUUAAAAUGCAAGGCCUACCUAUGUUUGGCUGAAAACCAGAUGGAAGGAUCCACAAUGCAUAAGGAAAAAAAUGAUGGACUAUUUUUAUCCAGAAAGGGGACCUGUAGAAAGCACAGCUGCAGGGACAGCAGCAGUAAGUCCACGGCGGAAGCGGUCACUUUGGAGCGCAGACACACAGCGUCAAAGAAUGAAAACAAUGAAGAGAAUUCCAGACUACUCCUGUUCUCUCAGGCUGUCUCUCAACAGGAUCCACCUGGAUCUUGUGAUCCCAUAUCUUAACAAGAGGCAUGGCAGGGAGUGGACAUUCCGUAAGUGGCAAGUGAAUUUCCUUGUGAUUUCUGGCAUAAUAAUAUUUAUAACCUAGAAUGUGGUCUGCCCCUUUAACCAAGUCCAGAAUACCUUCAAGUCCUCUGUGCCAUGAAUUACACCUGUUCCAACCCAGGUAUAAUUUUGUUAGCUACCAGGUAUCAAGAUAAACCUAUCCUGAUUAUCCUGGCAAUAGAAUCCCUGAACUUAUACUAAAGCCCACCUUCUCCUCCUAUUCUUCUGAAUCUACUGAAAAUACAUUAAGUCAAUCAAUCAAAAUCACAUGCCCCUUUCUCUCCUCUUUCCAUUAAACAGUUGAGGCAAAACAGUAGCAUAUAGAAGAAAUGAUUUGAAAUAUGGAGUCAGAAAACCUGAAUUUAAAUCCAGCUCUGCAAUCGUUGUGUGCACUUGGACAAGUCAGUCACCCUGUAAGCUUCACUUCUAUAAAGGGGGUACAAAGGAUAUGUCUCCUAUCUCACGGGACUGUUGUGCAGCCUGAGAAAAAGUGAAAAGUAUGCCACACACAACACACAGCAAUACAGUCCAAAACAUCAGGUCUGCGAUGGUACCAUUCCACGGGUUGUCUAUUUCCAGUAGACAAAAGUCUCUUACUCCCCAAACUCUCACCAGUUGUCAACCGGCAGCACAUGUUUGUAAAAUGUCUGUCUUGGCUGGGGCUAAUCUAGAAUCUGAGGCUGAAAGCUGGCAUUUUUCUGUAUCAUCAGCUUACACGGUCCAUCAGAGCCACACUCCAAAGAGCUGAGCCAGUCCUCCCAAACAAGAGAAAGUGGUUUCUCCACUUGACAAAGUUCUUUCCAAUGGAUUCUUUAGUGGGGCAGGGUACAGGGCAGGGUCUGGGCAGCAGAGAGGGAGGGCACAGGCCCCAAGGCAAAGAUUUAUUAGAAGCAUCACAAAUCAACAGGCCAUCACCUGACCGAUGAACCUAAAACCAUUUUAUCCAAAAGCAUCCUCCUUCCAACAAAUCUUAGUUCUUUUAACAGCUUUAUUUAGGUAUCAUUUAUGUACCAUAAAAUUAAUCCACUAUAAGUAUACAAUUUGAUGACUUUUAUUCAUUCAUAGAUUUAACUAUUGCUGUAAUUUAAUUUUAAAACACUUUCAGCACCCCAAAACUCCCCUUGAGCCCAUUUCCAAUCAAUCUCCACUCCUACCCUUAGCCCCAGAAAACCACUGAUCUGUCUUCUGUCUCUGUAAAUGUGUCUGUUCUACACAUUUCAUAUAAAUGGAAUCAUACAACAUGUAGUCUUUUUGAGUUUGGUUUCUUUCACUUAGCAUAAUGUUUUUGAAGUUUAUUCACGCUGUAGCAUGUGUCCGCUGAUUAUUUUUUAUUGCUGAAUAGCAUUCCAUUAUAUGACUAUUCCAUAUUUUGUUUAUCCAUUCACCAGCUGAUGGGCAUUUAGAUUGUUUUCAAGUUUUGGCUAUUAUAAAUAAUGCUGCUAUGAACACUGACAUGAAGUCUUUGUGUGUGAACAUAUGUUAUUUUUCUUGGGUAGACACCUAGGUAGAAUUGCUCUAUCAUAUGGUAAAUUUACACUUAACUGUUUCUUAAAUUGCCAAACUGAUUUUCCAAGUGAUUAUACCAUUUUACACUCUCACAGCAAUGCACAAGCUUUCCAGUUUCGAUACAGACUCAGCAACACUUUUUAGAGUAUUUUUAUAGUC